rnacentral:lncRNA from 1 species
GAGGAGCUCGCGGGCUUUCCGGCGGGCUGGCCUGAAGUGGAAGGGCCCAGGGCUGCCUGCCACCCUCAGAUGCCACGCAGGUGUUGGGAGGGCACCCGUCUGUGGGCUCAGGGACGUGUUCCCACCGACAGGCACAGAACGGAAAGCACCUUGGGGGAGACGCCCUUCUCCCCAUCUCAGGAGGGAGGCCGGGCCUGCAGACCUCCAGCCCUUCCCCAGCGCUCGCUGUGAGCUCCCCCCCCCCACCCGCCCCCCACGUGCUGGGGAGCAGGUCCGUUUCCCCACCAGUUUGCCUCUGGUCUUUGUGUUUGCUCUGAGGCCAGGCGCGCCCCCUGCUGCAGGCCUGGGCUCCUGUGUGGAGUUCUCCUUUCAGAUGUUGCUAAAAUGUCUUGAAAGGCUGCGGCCACACCAACAGACGUCGUCCGGCCUUCUUCACACGCAACGAAGCGCCCAGGUGGAAAUGCAUGUACCCGCGGCAGCUUCUCGGCAGCGGGCUUCCUGGGACGGAAGACACAGGCUCGCCCGAGGGAGACGGAAGCAGGGGAUCUGCUAGAACUCAGCUCGCCUCCUCCUUUCUCAGCAGGGCAGAGAAUCAUGGGCUUGUGCUGACGAAAGCUCCAGAAAAUGGACUCAUUUAACCUUUCCAAAGAUAUUAUCCAAGCUGCAAAAUCUUGGCAAUCUGAAGACCUUUUAAGUCGAUAUACCAAAGAGCUUUAGUCAGGAUUGAAUGCAAAAUGCCAAAAUUUCACUUUUAAAAUCAUCGUAACAUCUAAAUACAACCUAAGCACACUUGUAAACUGAUGCCGAACAGGCACUUGGAGAGCCCUCCCUGCACCCCUUCCUCGCCCCCUCCUUUGUGCAAAUGCUGUUUGCCCAGAACUUCAGCCACUGAAAAUCCUGGGAACUUUCUCUUCCUGGCUGCCAACCUAGCAGUUUGGACUCACAGACGAGAUUUUUAAAUCACUGAGGGAUUUAAGCCUCUCUGUGUCACAGAAAAGCGAACACCCUCCCAGUUGAAGGUGGCCCCAAAGAUGCGGGCCUGGGACCCAGGACUUCUGCAGGAGAGUGGACGCCUGGGUGCCCCCCGCCUUGCCCUGCACAUGGUAGGUGCUCAAUAAUUACACAAUAAAUAUUCACACAAAGCAGUGAUUCUGCCGAAGAGAUCCACUGCAAUGCACCUGGCUUCCUAGAAGCAAUAAAUGAAAAGCUUUUCUAUUUUUUUAAGAAAAGAAAAGAUUAAUGAAGCCCUGACGUAGAGGCAGAGAGCUCAACAGAAUCCAGUGACUCAAGGCGUGCGCAGAAGCAAUUUGCUUCUGAAACUCUAAACACCGUUCUUUAGUACUUCCUGACACUCCUCAGCAGCAAGCAAAUAAAUAUUUACAUGUGGAAGGAGACUGUCCUUUGAAAUAAUAACAGAGUACACCAGUCAUCAUAAGAAGAAAAAUUCACAUUUAAAGUUUGGAAAGCAACAGGACAAAGGUCUGUCUUCAGUGGUGCGUAGACAUGCUCGUGAUUGAAUUGGAAAUAGUUCUCUUUCCUUCUCUCUGACUUCCUAACUGAAAAGCUGCAGCGUGGGGAGAAAGGCUGCUCAGAAGCCUGGAGCCAGAACACGCACCCCGGCUUUUGCAGGGCCGGCUCACUUGGUUAGAAUCAAAGGAAAAGCCUUGUUAUUUGGGAAGCUGGGCGUCCUCACCAAAUUAGGGGAUUUAAUUUGCAGAUAUCUAAGGAGUGCUUUGAAAUGAAAGAUGAACUAAAAUCUGCUCUGAGGCCCGUGAUUUUUCACCAGUGAAGGACUCUCUUGCUGCUGGACAUACAUGAAAAGCAUCAUCUGAUCUGAAACGCAAGUCCCUGCAAGACAGAGGAGAGACUUUAUAAACAUUUUAUACCAUUCUAUGAAAUCAAUUCGAUUCAGGGCUAGAAUUCAAGAAGUAAUCCAUGGGCAAGUAUAUCUGAUGGUAAACCCAAACGAUUAUAUUGUUAACCUCUUGUACUUUUUUUAAUUUUUUAUUAUUUGAUAUUAUUAUCACAAAAGUCGCUGGAACAGGAUCCAUGAGCUGCUUCUUCACUGCUUAGUGUUUUCAGAAGCUGAUGGAUUAUUAAGCUCCAAUUGAAUACUUGAUUUCCAAUGAUUCCAUUAAUUUUUCUGGUUUGUGGUAGGAUUUGAUUUACUUAUUUUGUACUUUAACACACCAAUAAAAAAUAGAUACUAAGAAAUAGUGAAAUUUGUUGCUUCAAAAUAACCCUUAAAAUUUAGAGUUUAGUGAAAUUAAGCAAUUCAAAUAGAGAAACGAUUAUCCUUCAUUUCCUUAAGGCACAGAAAUUGAGACUAGGUUCAAGAACCUUCAUAUUUUAAAAACUGGAAAAUACUGGCUAAGUGAGGACUGGGCGGUCAUCCUCCACACAUGCUCUGUGUGCUUGGAGCGAAG